rnacentral:rRNA from 1 species
AUUGAACGCUGGCGGCAUGCCUUACACAUGCAAGUCGAACGGAAGCGUCGGCUUUGGUCUGGCGGCGAGUGGCGAACGGGUGGGUCAUGCCUCGGAAUGUGCCAUGUCGUGGGGGAAAGCGUGCUGAAAGCCGGUUUAAUCCCGCAUACGACCUGUGGGCGACAGUGGGGGAGCGCACGGCCUCGCGCUUUUGGAGUGGCCGAAGUCGGAUGAGCUAGUAGGGGGGGUAGCGGCUUACCAAGGCGACGAUCCGAAACUGGUCUGAAAGGACGGCCAGUCACACGGGGACUGAGACACGGCCCAGACUCCGACGGGAGGCAGCAGUGGGGAAUUUUGGACGAGGGGGGCGACGCGGAUCCAGCCAUGCCGCGUGCGGGAAGAAGGCCUUCGGGUGGUAAACUGCUGAUGGUCGGGAGGAAGUCCACUUCGCUAAUACCCCGGGAUAAUGACGGUACCGGAAGAAUAAGCACCGGCUAACUACGUG